rnacentral:lncRNA from 13 species
UCCUGAGUAGCAGAGACUACAGGCUCAAGCCACUAUACUUAGACUUCUUGGCGUUACAUUGUGAAUUGUUUCUACUGAUUUACCUACGAGUUUUCUAGUCUUUUCUUCUGGAGUGUCUAAGAUGCUGUUCAUCUCAGCCAGUAUUUCUUCAUCUAUGAUUACUUUGGACUUAUCCAUCAACAAAAACCUUCUGCUAGUACCUUGUCUGUAAUCACCAGAAAAGCCCUUGAGUUUCCAGCAGUGUUUCUUUUUAAUUUCUGUCAAAAAAAAAUCUUUGGGAUUUUUUACAUAUAGGAUCAUGAC